CCUGAAUGGCGGGUGGUGAAGUAGAGAGCCCAGCUCUCUGGGCUCUGACUCUGCCUCCCACAG
rnacentral:miRNA from 1 species